rnacentral:miRNA from 1 species
GAAAGUCACUUAGUGUGAGAGACA